GACGAACGCUGGCGGCGUGCUUAACACAUGCAAGUCGAACGGAAAGGCCCUGCUAUUGUGGGGUGCUCGAGUGGCGAACGGGUGCGUAACACGUGAGUAACCUGCCCUUGACUUUGGGAUAACUUCAGGAAACUGGGGCUAAUACCGGAUAGGAGCUCCUGCUGCAUGGUGGGGGUUGGAAAGUUUCGGCGGUUGGGGAUGGACUCGCGGCUUAUCAGCUUGUUGGUGGGGUAGUGGCUUACCAAGGCUUUGACGGGUAGCCGGCCUGAGAGGGUGACCGGCCACAUUGGGACUGAGAGACGGCCCAGACUGCUACGGGAGGCAGCAGUGGGGAAUAUUGCACAAUGGGCGGAAGCCUGAUGCAGCAACGCCGCGUGCGGGAUGACGGCCUUCGGGUUGUAAACCGCUUUCGCCUGUGACGAAGCGUGAGUGACGGUAAUGGGUAAAGAAGCACCGGCUAACUACGUG
rnacentral:rRNA from 1 species